GUUCUUUAUAGUCUUUGUAUAUUAACCCUUUAUGAUUUGAGAAUAUCUACUCCCAUUCUGUAGGUUGCCUUUUAGUUUAGUUGGUUGUUUCCUUUGCUGUGCAAAAACUGUAUGCAACUGAUGAAUCACUAAAGUCUACCCCUGAAACUAAUAUAUAUUUUUUAGAAUAUGGAAACUGGUCCAAACAUUAUCAGCAAUAUAUUGUUUUUGCUUUUUUUCUUAAAAUAUUUUGAGACCACUUUUGAUAUACACACAUAUAAUUCUGUGGUCAAAACAAACAAAUAGGACUUUAAUGAGACUAAACAAAAAUGCAAAACUUAAACAAAAUUUAAAAAUUUGAAAGCAUAACCUAAAUUUUUCUGCAUAGCUGAAAUCUAAAGCAAGUCCUGUUGCAGGGGUGGGAGGGGGUAUUGACAGGAAGAUAAAGCAGGGUUUUUUAUAAUGUCUUGCACCUUUAAAUGUUGCAAAAAAUAAUUUCACUCCAUAGGCUGAAAAUGUUUCACAGAUAGUUCAUUCCUAUAUCUUUAGGCACCAUAGCUGUGGCAGUGCCUCCUUUUGCAAGGUAAACUGCAGUGCUGGAUUUGGAAUGAACUGCCCUGUUACUGCCACUGUUGUUGACCUCACAGUCCAGUGGUUCAGUGGAAAAGACCCAGGUGGAGGAGCACCACCACUUAAGAGAAUAGGGAGUUUUUACACAGUUAACAUGAUAACUAAAUUGAAUUUAAAUUAAAAAAAUUUUAAUUUUUUUUUUUUUUUUAUGAUAGUCACACACACACACAGAGAGGCAGAGACACAGGCAGAGAGAAAAGCAGGCUCCAUGCACUGGGAGCCCGACGUGGGAUUCGAUCCCGGGUCUCCAGGAUCGCGCCCUGGGCCAAAGGCAGGCGCCAAACCACUGUGCCACCCAGGGAUCCCAAAAAAAAUUUAAAUAAAUAAAACUUUCUUAUUUUGAAAUAAUUAUAGAUUCACAGGAAGCUUGUAAAAAGAAUCUAAAGGAAUGUCCUGUGUACCAGGACCCAGUUUUCUCCAGUGGUAACCUUUUUUGUUAACUAUACUAUAAUAUCAAAACAAGUAAAUUGAUAUUAGCAUAAUCCAAGAGUUUAUUCAAAUUUCACCAGUCAUCUAUGCACUCAUUUGUGUAUAUGUGUACACGUGUGUAUUUCUAUGCAAUAUUAUCACAUGUUUAAAUUCAUGUAACCACUACCCCAAUCAAGGAUCCCUGGUACUACCCCUUUCAUAGCCAGUCGAUUCCUGUCUUUCCUGCCUCCACUGCCACCUUGUAACCCCUGGCGAUCACUAAUCUGUUCUCCAUCUCUAUAAUUUUGUGGCAAGCAUGCAGUUAGUUCAGUUAAAAUACAGCUUGAAUCACGGCCUAUCGUUAUUUUGUGGAAAAGCAUCAUCUUCACCUUAGACUUUGAAACUUCUCAUGAAUCUUUUCAUUAGUAGUCAAAUUUUCCAAGAUAAUUUCUACCAAGGUUAUUGCAAACCAGCUGUCUUUAAAUUUGUAUUCUCUAAUUCUUCCCUCUUCUAGAAGAUGAUGUUGUCAAAUAUUUUACAAAUGAAUCAUGACCAUCAGAUGUGGGUUGUUGUUUUUUGUUUAAAGAUUCUAUUUACCUAUUCAUGAGGGACCCAGAAAGAGAGACAGAGACACAGGCAGAGGGAGAAGCAGGCUCCAUGAGCUGCUUCUGAGCUGCCCUGAGCUGUCCAGGUGUCCCACAAAAAAUCUUUAAAUUUUGCUUUAAAAAUUUACUGUCAGUAUAUCUUCCUUGAUCCUUUCUUCCACUACAAAGGCACAGAUAAUCUUACUAAUCUCUGUUAUUUAUUGUGGAAACUUUCUCUGAAAAUAUCCCCUCCUUCUCUGAGAUCAUUAUCUGACCACCUCCCCCCAUUCCUUGCAUCCCAAUUUAAGUGGUUCUUUUUUUAAUCUAUAUGCAUGUUUUUAACCCUGUUACAAAUAUUGUUUGUAUCUGGGUCAGAUGAAGUUCCCAGCCACAAAGAGAGAUGCAAACUAUAUACUAACAGCUUAAAUUCAGCUAGGCACACCAGUGUGAUCCUAUUCGUUGCCAGAUACCAAAAAUACUUUUGUACAAGUUAAUAAAUAGCUGAUACCAGAAGACCCUACGAUAAACUUAGGCACAACUAGGUCCCAUCUCUGAGACCCAUCAGAUAUCCUAUUAGCCAGAAACCAAAGGUCUGGCAUUAUAGACAGCUUCUGUUCUGUUUUGAAUAUUCCUCCCUCUUCUACCACUAAGUACAAUAAAAAUGUGAUCGAUGCUGUAUUGGUGAUUUUUUAAAGUUUUAUGAAAACUCAGAGAAUGGAGUACUCUUUGACAACAGAAGGUAAGAUUAGGAGAGUCAAGAGAACAUCCGAGAAAAGUUUACAGGGUAUAUUAGUGCUUCCCAACUGGUGAUAAAUAAUAGUAAUAAUAAAUACCAUUUUUUCAGUGCUUACUAUGUCAUAGGCUCUGCGCCAAAUUCCUUUUACAAACAUUUACUGCAUUUAUUGCUCACAAAACUGCAAGACAUAUAAUUACAAUUCUAUUUUAUAGAUGAGCAGUAUUCUUCACCAGCUGAUACUGAUAGAGCUGAACCAGUUUUUCAAAGCUAUCCAUUUUAAUUAGUCACAGUGUUGUGAUUAGUCAGCACCUGGACCAUGCCAAUUAUUAAUAAUUUUGGUUUUUUUUUAAUUUUUAUUUAUUUAUGAUAGUCACACAGAGAGAGAGAGAGAGGCAGAGACAUAGACAGAGGGAGAAGCAGGCUCCACGCACCGGGAGCCCGACGUGGGAUUCGAUCCCGGGUCUCCAGGAUCGUGCCCUGGGCCAAAGGCAGGCACUAAACCACUGCGCCACCCAGGGAUCCCUAUUAAUGAUUUUGAACAUCAUUCCUACAGAUAAAAAAUCAGAAACUAAGAAUAAAUCAGUAGCAAAAGAUCACAUACCAAAGAGUAGAACUGGGAUUUCAAUCCAAGGCUGAACUAAAGUUCAUGUUCUUUUUUUUUUUUUUUAAUUUUUAUUUAUUUAUGAUAGAGAGAGAGAGAGGCAGAGAGAGAAGCAGGCUCCAUGCACCGGGAGCCCAACGUGGGAUUCAAUCCCAGGUCUCCAGGAUCGCGCCCUGGGCCAAAGGCAGGUGCCAAACCGCUGCGCCACCCAGGGCUCCCUAAAGUUCAUGUUCUAAACCACUUUCUUACCUACAUGUCUUUUUUUUUUUUUUAACCCACAUUUCAACUAUGAAGACAACUUAAAAAAACUUCCAUAAUAUGUUUUUCCUCUUUAUAUCUUCUGGGAAGGUAAGUGGUACCAUAUGUUUUUCAUCUCCCAAAAGCCCUCCAUAAGAAACAGAUGAAUAAGGUAGAGAAGCCAAAAACCUACAGAUAAUAUCAAUAACAAAUUAGGUGAUAAAGUAUUCCCACAAACUAAAAUUUGAGGUGUAGGAUUCAACCUCCAACAGUAACACACUCACAUAGUAUUUAUCAGCAGCUACACAGAAGGGAGCAGAGAAAGGAGAUGGUCUUCUGAUAGCCCUGGAAGCUAGAGAGCCCCCAAAUUACUAUAGGUGUUCUCAGAAAUGCUCACAAGACAUAUCUGAGAACAACAGCCAAAACUGGAUGAAGUUUGCAGACUCCCAGUCCCAAGUAACAGAAGGAGGACUAGAAUAGUCUGAGCCCUAUGAACUCUCAAUUCUAAGUGAUGAAAGUUCUCUGAUAAGACAAAGCUUACAUUAAGAAACUGCUGGAAGUAAGACUAAGCAGAGCAAAUUGAGCAGUCAGGAAUGGAGAAGGCAAAACAAGAUCCAAUGAUGAGGGGAGGAGUACUUUAUGAAACAACGUAAGAAAGAGGGAGCUCUAGUACUGAUACAUUAGGAAGGUUAUCCUUAGGUUACUUCUUUCAUGGGUUAGAAAUGCUCAUCUCACUUAUGCAUGAGCAAUCAAAUAGAUCACAAAAGUAAAUGUCUUAUAGUUCUUGUUGGAGAAGGUCAUCAAGAAGACAGGACUGCCAGUUGACCUGUGAGCUGGACUCAGGCACUAGGAGGCUCCUCAUCCCCUUUCUGUCCUUGGAAUGUGGGUUCUGUUUGCCUUUCCCACUCCCAGAGGCUGCUCUCAGGACACAACCUUGAGAUAGUGAUGUGUUGAGAACAACUGCAUGGUAUAUGUGAUUGAACCUAGUUAAGACCUAUAUUUGGGCAGCCUGGGUGGCUCAGUGGAUUAGCGCCGCCUUCAGCCCAGGGCCUGAUCGCCUGAUUGAGUCCCGCGUCGAGCUCCUUGCAUGAAGCCUGC
rnacentral:lncRNA from 1 species